ACACAAAGAGAGAGCGAAAUAAAAAGAUAUCUUUAGCAUGAUAGAUAAGAGAAUUUAAACACUAUAGCUUUGUGAAGAAGUCUUUUCUUUUUCUACUUUUUCUUUUCUGAUCUAUAAGCCAUGAAAGAAAAACUAUUUUCCUGUGAUUUACGUCGACUCAAUGGACUCUUGUCCACGAUUGAAGGGUUUCUUUGGCUUUUGGGUUAGAAACAUACAUUUGAGAUCUUUCCAUCAAAGAAGUAACUCAAUAGUAUCUAUUUCCUUGGUAUAUUUUAUGCACAUUUGAAGUUGAAGCGUCGAAGCAUUGAAGCGUUUGCUAUAUAAUUGAAAUGCAAACUUCCGAGCGCUUUAGAGUCCCUUGUGUUUUUCUUUGACAUUAAAGGUUUGGAUAUUUUUGGCAUUCAUGCUUGGGUUAAAAAGAGAAUAAUUCGAAAACGUUUUUUUUUUUUUUCUCCAACGGGAAAUUUAAUCCCCAAAUGGAGAUGAUCAAAAUCUAGUCUCACUUCCCCACCCCAAUGCCAUGCCUAGUAGGGUUUCUUCUCCCCUAGGGAGCAUGACUUUUAAGGGGAGGCGUCCUAAGCAAUCUAGUUAUUCCUCCUCCAAAGAUCUCUCCACCAAACUAAAAAUCGAGUUAUUCCUCUCAAGCCACACUCCCCACCAAAAUAGCGAAACCAGCAUGCCACAAGACUCUUUCCUUAUCUCAGAAAGAAGAAAUUAAAGGAAAAUGAAGCA